rnacentral:snRNA from 1 species
UUGGAUCCACAAUGUCCAGUCCAU